rnacentral:rRNA from 1 species
AUUGAACGCUGGCGGCAGGCCUAACACAUGCAAGUCGAGCGGGGUUUUCGGACCUAGCGGCGGACGGGUGAGUAAUGCGUAGGAAGCUACCCGAUAGAGGGGGAUACCAGUUGGAAACGACUGUUAAUACCGCAUAAUGUCUACGGACCAAAGUGUGGGACCUUCGGGCCACAUGCUAUCGGAUGCGCCUACGUGGGAUUAGCUAGUUGGUGAGGUAAUGGCUCACCAAGGCGACGAUCCCUAGCUGGUUUGAGAGGAUGAUCAGCCACACUGUAACUGAGACACGGUCCAGACUCCUACGGGAGGCAGCAGUGCGGAAUAUUGGACAAUGGGCGCAAGCCUGAUCCAGCAAUGCCGCGUGUGUGAAGAAGGCCUUCGGGUUGUAAAGCACUUUCAGUAGGGAGGAAGCGUUGUGUGUUAAUAGUACACAGCGUUGACGUUACCUACAGAAGAAGCACCGGCUAACUCUGUGCCAGCCGCCGCAGUAACAC